GCCCGGGUGGCUCAGUCGGCCGAGCGUCUGACUUCGGCUCAGGUAAUGAUCUCAUGGUUUGUGGGUUUGAGCCCCAUGUUGGGCG
rnacentral:tRNA from 1 species